rnacentral:rRNA from 1 species
UACAGAGGGUGCGAGCGUUAAUCGGAAUUACUGGGCGUAAAGCGUGCGUAGACGGUCAUGUAAGUCGGGUGUGAAAGCCCCGGGCUCAACCUGGGAAUUGCAUUCGAGACUGCAUGGCUAGGAUGCGGAAGAGGGAAGUGGAAUUUCCGGUGUAGCGGUGAAAUGCGUAGAUAUCGGAAGGAACACCAGUGGCGAAAGCGACUUCCUGGUCCAGCAUCGACGUUCAGGCACGAAAGCGUGGGGAGCAAACAGG